GACACAAGCCGGAGUGUUCCGUAGCGCGUGCCGUACCGCUUACCUCAUCAAAUGACCUGGCACCUGCCGCGUGCCGUACUCCUACCGCUGACAUCGCACGCUCGCUCUCCUUGGGUGUUCGCCUCGUCAGCGUAUCGUGGCUCGAGUCGUUCUCGUGGUCGGUGUGGAGUAUUAACCAAGUAUCGCCACGAUAGAUGUUGGAGUCUUCAAGCGAUGGUUGAUGAUGCACACCAUGUGUUCGAGAAAUGUCCUCUCUUGCCGCUCGAGAAUUGGGCUUCGGCGCGCGUUUUCGGAACUGCUCUGGUUCGAUCUACGAACAAUCUGUGAUGGUAAAGUUUGAUGUUCGUCUCAUCUUGAACAGAUCUUCCUCCUAUCAGGAACAAAACCUACAGACCUCAGUUGAUGACCAUAGGAUUUCAAUUGGAUGAAGUACCGUUGGAACAUUCUCUUUCUCAAGAAAGUGGUGUAGAUUGAUGGAAAAUUUUGUCAACUUUCAAUCGCCAUAAUUUCUUAUGCAAUUGAUGGUCUUUAGUUCUUUGAAUUUUUGCAUGCAAUUGUAGUAUUGCUAUAUUUCCAUAACAGAGUAUAUCUCUAAUCAUAUAGGCACCUCUAAGAUGCAUCAUGUGUGGGUGUAGUCUUGCUAUAUAUAAUCACGUGUUAAAAACUCUAAUAUUAGAAACUAUGUGUUGAACAUCAUGGUUCCUGUGAAAUCCAUUGCUUCUCAGAAGUGUGUUAAAAGUUCACUUUACAUAUUAUUUGUUGCCUACUUUAGCAAAUUAUUGUUUAUGUUUGAUUACAAGAGUUCUGAACUUUGAUUGGUGGCACAAUUUGCCAUGAUUUCUUUUAACUGUCUAUGAUUUUAUUGCAGCUGUUCUUAUUCUUGUAAUAAAAUCUAGUUUCAAAGUAUGAUCUAAUAGUCGAUAUGGUAGAAUUACGCUUUCCAUAAGAAUACACGCGUCCUCCUUGUCAAGGGAAGAAUUGGUACAAAUUUACAUGUACAAGAGUACUUUCAUGGAACACAUCAAAAUGCCUGUUGUACAUGGAAAAUAUGAAUUUAAGAUCUUUUUACUUCUUCUUGUUGUCAUAUUGUCACUCAAGUAGACUGGAAGUUAUCAAAGAUUCAGAACCAGGAAUUAAUUUUAAAAGUUAUCAUGCUGUCAACACUUUCUAUAAUGUUAUACUUCUAAUAAGAUAAGUUCAUGGGUAGAGAUAUCUGAUCUUUGGUUAAAUGCUUAACUUGUCCUUUGAAAAUGGUCGAUGCUAUGACCGUCCAUUUCAGUUAUUUCAGGUGACCAUAGCCCUUCUCUUCAUUCAGGUUAUCACUGGUUUCUAGAGAACAUGUUUGACCGAUUGCAAGCUACAGUCAACUGUACUGCAAGAAGAUGUCUCUCUAACAUUCAUCUUUUUGGAUGUUCUUGUAACAUUCACUGAUGCAAGAUUUUCAGAGAGACUAACUAUGCUAGGACACCAUAGUAAAUUUUAUUCUACUCUGACUUUCAACGUGUUUAUCAUAAUGUUUAAUGCUAGUAGAUAUUCCAAUGUUCAGUACUAUAAUUUUUUAUGCAAUGAAGCUUCAAAAUGCAUGCAGCAUUUUCUGUUUCAGUUAAAAAUAUUUUUUUCUCUUAUCCCUUUCUUGAUGAAGUUGAUUGUUCCUACAAGCAUUCUUGUAUAUUUGCCUAAAACUUCUCUGCUUCUUGGUCAUUUGUAUUAAGGAGCUGCAUCAGGAUAGUGGCCUGUGUUGGAUGGCCAUAAUACCUUUGUAAUUUGCAACUUAGUGGUUCAAGUAAUAAGUUCACAUGAGUAUUUUUCAUCGUUUUCAUCUGUAGAUGCUUGUGUCACAUUUUGGUUAUUGAAAGAAGAGCACAUAAAUAUGUAAAGUAACAUUUGAACUCUUCUAAUGUUUGACCUUAUUUAUUACACUAUACUAUAGUAAACACUUGUUUAAAAUGUGAUUGUUUAUGUUUUUAUUUAUAUUUCCUAUUGUUAUUUUUUCUUAAAACUUAACUUUAUGGUAAGUUCUUAGUAUGUUUUUCUUUUGUCAUUUGAAUUCAGGUGUAAAUCCAGACUAGGACUUGAAUAACUUGCACGCAUGAUAUCUAACCCUAGAGCAAUUUAUUAGGCAAGGUCAUGAGCUUUUUCUGAUCUUUCCUUCCAAUUGAUCCGGUGAUAGUGGCCACAAAAGCAUGAUUCAGGCUUUAGUAGUGCAUAAGGGUUCUGUUUUAAUGAUGACAACAAUAACAAGUCAUUCCCAAGAUUCGUAGUUGGUGAUAUUGAUCCUUUCUUAUAGUUAAGCACUCUUUAGAGUGAUGUGACAGGAACAAAUACUGUGGUAUUUUUCAUGGUUCGUCUUAUCGGUCCGUAUCAGUGUACUGAUCAGCUAUCAGUACAAUGCAUCUCUAACUAUACCGAGCCAUACCGAGACACGAUAUAUCGGGCAUAUUGAUGUACCGCCCGUAUCGAGUGAUACACUAUGAUACGAUGAACCUUGGUAUUUUUCUUAUUAUUUCUGAUUAAAGUGAUCUUUGGUCAUGUUCUAUCUCUCAGGACAUCUCCAAAGUGAACCAAUCUAGUUUGUCUUACUGAUACAUUGAUCUUGGCUGAUUGCAGUUAAUUUGGGAACGAGUGUUGCAUAUCUUCUACAAGUCAGAAUAGUGUGUGACAAGAUCCACACACUUGUAUACUCUUGACUGAAACUGAUGUGAUUUGAUUGAAAAGUUGGUGGAUCUCAAUAAAAAAUUAACAUGUUGUAACUG